rnacentral:lncRNA from 1 species
GAGGAGAAAUAUAUUUUUCUUAAAUGAAUCUAGUCAAACCAAAAUAUUGAUUUAACCCGAAUCAGAUGAUUUUUGGAGGCUCUAUGGGUCUAUAUUUAUUGGUGGAAAAGAGGUUUAGAGGUCAAAGACUAGGCAAUGUGGGACUAAACAUAAAUGAAAAUAUACGAAACAGAGAAGAAAAGAGGCGGAUAGGCCUAAAGGCCUUCGACCGGCCGGGCGCACGCUGCGGUGCAGUUUUUUUUUGCAAAAUUCGGCCUAAGAAGAAGAAAAAAAAAGGCUGUCUGGGCCUGGCCCAUAUAGGAUAAAAAAAUAGGACGCUCGUUGGUACUAUGAUGCGUAUGUAGGCGACAGUUAGUUUCAGGCGCGCGCGAAGUUUUUUUAAAACAAAAUGCGAUAAACUGAAAACGAAAAUAAAAUAAAACUUUAUAUAGGCAUAUUAUAUAUAAAAAAAUUUAGAAAAAGAUUUUCUUCAAGAUGAACAUUUUCCUAGCAUUAAAUAAAUUUCACACAAAUUCAGAUAAUUCAAAGAGUGCUACUGGUCUAAUAAAAUUCAAUAAAAAUCAUUUUAGAAAUAUCAAAAUGAUUUCAAAUUUAUUUCUCUCCAAUUUUCUGUUGUAGGGAAUCAUGUUACCCUAAUUUCCUUGUACUUUGAUUUUGGAGAAAAAUAAUUUGAAUAAAACUCAAACAACUCCAAAUUGAAAAGAAAUUCAAAAAGACUUUGAAUUUGAUCCUUUGAAACUCCCAACUCAUAUUUCAUAUAAUUUGAAGAAGUCAUUUUAUCUCCUCUCAUGAAAAUCAUUGAGUUGCAUAAAGUUUCAGAAUUGGAAAUAUUUUCCAAAUGAAAUUCAAAUAUUUUCAACACCCCAUGUCAUUUAAAUAAAUGGAACAAGUCAUGUCAUCUUCUCUCCAGGGUUUUGUGAUGAAAAGAAUUUGAAUUCUCGGGGAUCAAAAGAAAAAAGGUGAAAGUUUGGGAAAGUCCUUUUAUUCCCUCUCAUUUAACUUUCAAAAAGUUUCAAAUUUCACUCACUUUCAGACAAUCAAUCAAACAAUCAAUCAAAUCUAUCUAUUUGUUUAUAACAUUCCAAAAUUUAGAAUUUGGGAUGUUACAAACCUACCACCCUUAAAAUGAAUCUCGUCCUCGAGAUUCGGAGAGGCUAGUAAGAAAUAGGCUAGGGUUUUGGGGUCUCCUCAAAAUCCAUCGAUCAUCACACGGGGUCUGGGGUGCUACCACCCUUAGAAGCAUGGUUACUGUUCCAUCAAAACUCAUAUACUCCAUCCUUAUUCUUGACAGUGUCGGUCUUCUCAGAUCCUCGAGAAAUUCCUUCUCUAAGCUCUUCCGAUAGUGGCAUAACCUUUACCACAAUUUUUCUGUCCUUUCAUUUGGUAAGGUUAUUCCGAGACUGGGUCUUCUUACCUGACGGGUCUGGCGCCAAUACUAACUAACUAUCGAUAUCUCAUGGUGGUUAACAAUUUAGGGUUUGUCCUAUAGGAAAUGGGUCUGGGUUGAUCAUCACCGUAUAACCUACGGUUGGCAAAGCUGCCUUGUACAAGGGAAAAAUUGCUAUACCAUUCUAAGGUUUAAACAAGGUUUAAUAUCGUCGUCUCUCUACUAUAGGUAAGUCACUCAGAUUUACCAUCCCACAUAGCAAGGCGAAUAAUAAGAGUAAGUCGGUAUGGUGAUCAAUCCAUCCCGCACCCAAAUCAUUACCUUGUAUACGGUUUAGCGAAUCUCGCGUUCUAACACUCGGUCAUCUUCACAAGCAUUGCAGAAUUUCUCUUGUCCACGAACUGCGUUCGGAAUAAUCCAUUGAUUCUGCAAGCCAAACAAACAUCUAUCGUUCCAUCACCACUCUCAGGUUUUGCGUAAACUCCUAUAAAAUCGUCGGUUGAUAAGUCGUAACUCCUUCCAGGUUUUUUUCCUUCAGCAAAAUUUGCUUGCUUCUUGGUAGGUCCUGGGGCCUGUGGGUUAUGGCCCAUCUCAUCACUUGUAGUCCUUGAACUUAUCAUCGGGCAACUGAUCAUUAUUCCAACUUCCAACUUCCAGAUCCCUAGCAUACUUAAAUCCAUCCAAUUGUAUCGUCUCCCUUCCUUCUAUUUGUAAAAGACUAAGAUGUGAUUACUCAAACUCAUCAUGGAAUUUCCAUUGAUCCAUAUUUCCAACAUCAUACCUCCUUUAUAUCCAAUAGUAAUUCAUCUAUUCAUCCUCGUGGGUUAUCCCACAUAUCGAGAUAUAAACUUAUACUUAUGGAGUCCAUAUUCCACUUUGGGGAACAUCACUAUCCUUUCCAGGGUCAAGCGUCCUUGCAGGGGAAUAUUGGCCAUCUCUGCAUGGCACUUCUUCAACUGGGAAACGUGAAACACAUCAUGGACUCCUGACAGUCCUUCGGGUGACUCCAACUUGUUGGCCACUUCUCCCAUAUGCUCCAAAACUCGGUAUGUCCUACAAAUCUCGGGGCUAAUUUUCCCUUAACUCCAAAUCGUUUAAUUCCUCGCAGAGGGAACACAUGAAGACAUGCUCUGUCUCCAAUUUCAUAGACUACCUCCUUGCAUUUUUUUAAGUCUGCAUAACUCUUCUGCCUGGACUGAGCUACCUUCAGUCUAUCUCGAAUCAACUUAACAUUCUCUUCUGACUCCUUGAUCACAUUUGGUCCUAACAACUAACGGUCUCCAACUUCAUCCCACAUACUCUUGGGGCAUCACACAUAUCGAGACAAAAACUCGUAUUCAUUUUGUCCGAAAUCCACUCAGUGGAGUAGCCUUAUCUUUUCCAGGGGUCAAGGGUUCUUAUAGGGUACUACCACCCUUAAAAUGCGCAAAUCUUCCAUAGACCAUAUUUCUCAUAUCCUCAGAAUGGCCAAAAUUCUUCUUCAUAGGGUAACAACUCAUAAAAUCCAUAUCAGUACCAACGAUGCUAACUUUAUUCAUUCUCAAGUGAUUACAAUCUCUCGCUUUUCCGUUACAUGUCUCAACUCAACACCUCAAUAUAAAAGAAAAUGUUCUCACUUCUACUACUCCAUUUCUUUUGCUGCAAACUCAACUAUCUAGCACAAGUUUCCUUCUCCUUGGGGCAUUCUCUGGCAAAGUGCCCUGCUCCAUUACAACUAAAACAUAUUACUUCUGACAAGUAUCGAGGUUUCCUUUUUGGGCAACUGUUGAGGUAGUGCCCUGACUGCUUGCACCUGUAACAGGUGAUAUGACUCAAGUCCUUCCUGGAAUCCAAUCUGCUUCUCUUCCUAGACCUUUCCAUGCCAAUCAUGGCUUCUAUUUCUUGUGGGUCAUACUCUACUUCCUCUGUCGAGAAUUCUACCAGAUCCCCAUUCAAACAAUUUAGGGAGAUGUGACCUUCUUCUCCACAUGAAUAGCAAGACUUAGUGCAGGGUUUACUCAGGUCCUUUUUAGGUGUGUCCUCCUUCAUCACGGGUUCUUCUAAAAUUUCCAUAAGGGCUCCUUUCUUUACUUCUUUCUUCUGUUGUACGGUCCUUCGUACCAUGGGGUAAAUGUGACACUGAGUAGGAUAGUGGGAAAUCCCUUCACACAAGAAACAAGUAAUCUGCCUAGUUGGGCAUUCUUUAACUGGGUGACUUCCUUCACAAUUAGGGCACUCUUCCUUGCGUUCUUUAUGGGUGUGUCCGAUUUCUCCACAAAUCUUGUAUGCACAAGGUUUCUUCAUAUCCUCUCUAUAAUGCUUCAACUUCUGGGACACAAACCGAGGCUUUGGCAUAGUCAACUUAAAUUCUCUCCAAGUGGUUACUCCUUGCCAUCCAUUCAUGGUUUGGUAUAUCCUCCACCAAGUAGCAGCACCUCUUUCAAAGCACUGAAAAGCAUGCUGGGUCAUAUCCUUUCCGACUAUAGGGUUAUUCUCCAUGUGAUCCCCCAUGUUCUGAAUCCAUCGGCCUGUCUCCAAUUGACUCAUCGGUCUAGAAAAUACAAGCUCAUCUCCAUUCAUCCUCUAUUGGGUCCAAGGGUUUUGGGGUGAGAUGAGAGAGAGGGAGAGGGAUGCACAAAACAAACAAUGGUUUUGAAAAGAUAGAUUUUAUCUGUGGCUGUCGGAAAAACAUCAAACAAAUGACAGCUCACAAACGUCGCAUCUAACAUAGGUAUAUAACAGGGGUUUGGUCUUCUAAAGGUCAAUAAAUCUUCAACGUCUCCAAACUCUUCAAGCCUUGUUCAUACCUCCAAUGGCUUCUUCCGAUCAUGCUUGUAUUUCUCAAGUUCUUUUGCCAGAUCAUCUCUGUUGACGCGAAGUCUCUCAUGACGUCCUUUAUUAUUCUGGAGUUGCGUCCCAAACUUUUAGGUUUCAUCAUCCUUGGCAUGAACCAUGUCCUACUAUCCUUCAAUUCCCGACGAAUCUCAAGGUUUUGCUCCUCCAGCUUGGCUACUUUCAGCUUCUGGUUCCUGAGUUCUUCACGAAAAGCUUCCUUGUCUAAUAUGGCUUCCUGGAGCUCCAUCUUAAAAUUUCUUGAUGUACUACUCCAAAUUCUGGUGUUACACCAGCUAAGGUUAAAACUUCAUCUUACUGUUAGGUGCUCCAUCAGCCUUCUUCCAUCAAAUCCAUUAUGAAGAAAUGCAUCCUUAACUCAGCACGGUGACAAUAGCAUCAACGGCGAUGACAUCAUGGAUAACAGUGUUUCUGCCCUUGUCAUUGCCAGUAGCUAUCUUCCAUAGUUGAUAUCUCCUGCCUUAGGGUUUUCUUGACAAAACUUUGAGUUCUCAUGCUCCAUGCUCUGGUCUUUCUCCGAUACACCUUGAUCUCGGGCAUUGACAACUUCCAUAAUCUGUCAAGUUCCAUAAGGGUAGCCUUCCUAGGUCAAACAAAUCUAGAAAUGCUUCGUAGCCUCCAAAUUCUACUAGUCUUCAGAGUCUUCAACCGUUGUAGUUUCCAUUAUUCAGAUGCACAGUAAAAUCCUCUUCAUUCCGAAGCGGUCUUAGUUGUCCAAUAUCUUGUAUUUCUUGAAGUGGUCUCAUCAGUCGAAUCUUCGAGUGGUCAAAAGGGGAGAGGGAUAUGGUCUCACUAAAAGGGAAUAUUUGAAUAAACUUAGAAGAGAAGAGAUGUAAAAGAUCUUUUGAAAGGGAAAGUUGUAGAGAAAAAUCUUUGCUAUGGGCUUCCCAGUUUCUAGGGUCACGUCCUACAGUCAACAUGUGCUCUGAUACCAUCUUGUAGCGACCCGACCCGAAUGGAUCAAGUCUCUGUGCUUAAGUGUCAUCCCUGGAUCGGUAUGCUGACACACACAGUACUCGAGGAUUUAUAACAGAGGUAAAUCACAUGUAUACAAUAACGUAAAUACUAUUACCUCAAUCCAAAAUAGCGGCAGUAACAAGGUUGUGGAUUCCCAUCAACACCAACGGCAAAGUUGAGUGUAGAAAUCGUAACCCUAACGUAUCACUUACUUGUCGUAAGAUAAUCCUAUAACAUGAGACGUUGCAGCCACAAAGGGUCAGUACAUUGAAUGUACUGGCAAAUUCACACCAUAGAGAAUGAUGAACAAUGGCUAUCACUACAUGCAUAUUUGGCUGGUGGAAAAGCUCUAUGAUUAUAGUUUUGUGUAAAGCCAAUUUUUCAAUACUGCAAAGGAAUAAAUUUUAUUUAACUAUCAUGGUGGUUGUUGAACAUUGAGAAUGGUUGACAGCUUCUCAAUCCCUAUUAAGCAUCAUCAUUAAAACCCAACAAAAUUAAUUUAGACUAACAUGUUGAGAUCAACAGGAUAAUCCAAGUACCAGAAACUCAAGAUGUCCAUAACCGAGGACACGGCUAAUCAUGAUUAGUUUAUACAUUCUGCAGAGGUUUGCGCACUUUUCCCCACAAGACUCGAUCGCCUACGUUUGGUUUCUCGCACUACAUGGUGUUUGAGAAGACGGAUGACCGAGACAUAGUCUUCCAGAAGAGUUUGCACCUUACGAUGGGUAGACCGUACCACCUACAACCCCUACAUCUGCUAGUCUACCAUUGUAAGAGUUCACACGACUUAGUCACCUAUGCUAGAGCCCAUAAUAGCUUGUGGCUGCACACGGAAGUUUCUAGUAUGAAUAGUCUUAUGAUCCCUUUGAGCCUGGGUGGCGGACCGUAGGAUGAUCACACGGUAUAUCCCAGGAUCUCCUAGGACAACACUGGUAUUUCCCCAGGUGUCCGGGCAAGUCCACUGGUAUAUCCCCAGGGUGCCCCUAGCAAUCCACCCAGAUGUGUAUUAAAGUUGCCACCUUAAGUUGAGCCAUUAAUUAACAGUCUCACAUCUGUCAUGAAAUACUCUCAAACCCAAUCCACGUCUACGAGCAUAGCAUGGCAUCGUAAGCAUAACGUAAUAGUAACUCCCAAGGUUUGAUAAUAACAGGUGAAUAGGUUCCUACCUCAUCAACUACUUCCCAAUACCCACAUGUUAUCAAUCCUACUCAUGUAAUGUUUGAGGGUGAAACUAAUGCAUAAAAACUGGGUAUGAAAGGGGAUAUGAUCAAAGUGUGAACUUGCCUGCAAUGUUCAUGAAGAUGAUUCGCACUCAAAACUCUUGAUAGCUCUACUCAUCACACUCCGGUCAAUCUAUCAUAAGCAAGCAAUAGUAACCACACAUAAGCAAUCACUCAAAAGAUCGGGAAGAACGAAGAAGACAAUUCAGAAAACGUCAAAACCAAGCAAAUAACUCUUGCAACAUAAAACAAUUUCUAACAGUACCAAAAUUAUGUGAAUUUGGCCUUAUCAGAAGCUUCGGUUUGCAAAAAGAAUCAACUGAAAUAGAGCUACAAAACUCAAGUUAUGAUCAAACGAAGUUUGAAUAUAAAUCUGACCAAAAUUCAAAAUUUGAAAAUUUCAAACACAUGUUUGGGUAGGAUUACUGGAUAGAGGGGAUCAUAACGAAGAAGUGGGCGUUGGUUUCGUUGGAUUUGGACAAACGAGUAAAAAGUUAUGCCUAUUUGAAAAAUCAAGGCCAAGCUGUUUUACGGAAGAAAAAAAUAGAUACAGGCUAGGGUCUAAUGUAUAAAUACGUAGACUAAUUGAUAAUCAAAUUAUUUAUCGUAUUAGUCUAAAAAAAUAAUAAACUACGAAAGUAUAAGAAGAAAAAAACAAAGAGAUAUACCUUUAUAAGGCAGACAAAAGAUGACUUUGGAGAGAAGAGAAAAUUUCUAGAAGUCGCGCCGGAGAGGAGAAACAUAUUUUUCUUAAAUGAAUCUAGUCAAACCAAAAUAUUGAUUUAACCCGAAUCGAAUGAUUUUUGGAGGCUCUAUGGGUCUAUAUUUAUUGGUUGAAAAGAGGUUUAGAGGUCAAAGGCUAGGCAAUGUGGGACUAAACAUAGACGAAAAUAUACGAAACAGAGAAGAAAAGAGGCGGAUGGGCAUAAAGGC